ACCGAUACGCUGCAUAUAAAUAUUAAAAAAUCUAUUCUCUCACGGCUUAAAUUUUUUUUUUUUUAAAAAAGAAUUGAGCUCCUAUGUUUUUAAAAGUAUCAAGUUAUUGAUGUUUGUAGAGAUGUGCGGUUAGGAUGAUGUGGGACCCCUAGGGUUGGCUGGGUUGUUGGUUGAAUAGUGUGAUUUAACGGGCGAAAAUGAUCAAAGCAAUAGAUCUAACGGUAACAAAUUUAUAGGCAUCACCAAGUGCUUGGUAUUUUUACAAACACCGUAGCCGGACUCUAAAAAAAAAAGAUAGUAUUUUAUUUAUUUUAAUAUGGUGUCAAAAUACGAGAUUCUAGGUUCCAGCAUUAUUAUUAUUAUUAUUAUUAUUUUUGAAGUUUUCGUUACACUCCUAACA
rnacentral:lncRNA from 1 species